UACGUAGGGUGCAAGCGUUGUCCGGAAUUAUUGGGCGUAAAGAGCUCGUAGGCGGUCUGUCGCGUCUGCUGUGAAAACUCAGGGCUUAACCCUGAGCUUGCAGUGGGUACGGGCAGACUAGAGUGCGGUAGGGGAGACUGGAAUUCCUGGUGUAGCGGUGAAAUGCGCAGAUAUCAGGAGGAACACCGGUGGCGAAGGCGGCUUUCUGGACAGAAACUGACGCUGAUGCGCGAAAGCUAGGGGAGCAAACAGG
rnacentral:rRNA from 1 species